rfam:Triticum aestivum genome assembly, contig: Triticum_aestivum_CS42_TGACv1_scaffold_393461_5AS
UAUAUGUACCCUCCGUCCGAAAAUACUUGUCAUCAAAAUAGAUAAAAAGGGAUGUAUCUGAAACUAAAAUACAUUUAAAUAAAUCUUCUUUUAUGCAUUUGGAUGACAAGUAUUUCGGGACGAAGGUAAUGCUAA